GCCCAGGUGGCGGAAUUGGUAGACGCACUACCUUGAUGUGGUAGCGCCGAGAGGCGUGAAGGUUCGAGUCCUUUCCUGGGCACCA
rnacentral:tRNA from 1 species